rnacentral:rRNA from 1 species
UGGUGGAGUGAUUUGUCUGCCUAAUCGCGAUAACGAACGAGACCUUAACCUGCUAAAUAGCCCGCGCCGCUCCGGCGGCGCGCCGGCUUCUUAGAGGGACUAUCGGCUCAAGCCGAUGGAAGUUUGAGGCAAUAACA